rnacentral:rRNA from 1 species
GCCACACUGGAACUGAGACACGGCCCAGACUCCUACGGGAGGCAGCAGUGGGGAAUUUUGGACAAUGGGGGCAACCCUGAUCCAGCCAUUCCGCGUGAGUGAAGAAGGCCUUCGGGUUGUAAAGCUCUUUCAGCUGGAGCGAAACGGUACGCUCUAACAUAGCGUGCUAAUGACGGUACCAGCAGAAGAAGCACCGGCUAACUACGUGCCAGCAGCCGCGGUAAUACGUAGGGUGCGAGCGUUAAUCGGAAUUACUGGGCGUAAAGCGUGCGCAGGCGGAUUGUUAAGCAAGACGUGAAAUCCCCGGGCUUAACCUGGGAAUGGCGUUUUGAACUGGCAGUCUAGAGUGCGUCAGAGGGGGGUGGAAUUCC